rnacentral:lncRNA from 1 species
GGUGCCUGACUCAACCCAACAAAAGUACUAGAAUCUGUACUUUACUGAGAACGGGUAAUCCCAAAUAUAACAUAUGUUACAUUUGAUCACUUUCUAAAUGGCAUUGUUCAUUCACAAACCACAAUCUGUAAGUUGGUAUUGAUUGGUGAUAAAGGAAUACCUAGUGUAUAAAAACCUGUGAAGUAUUUACAUUGAUUUCUAUGUCUCAGGUCGAGACAGUCUGUGUUCUUUUUAGGAAUUUGUUUUGCAGUUUGAUUCAAACAUUUAUAGUUGGCAUGCAGAUGGCAAUACAUAAGUACUUGAAUAUAAAUAUAACAUUUGUAAUGUUAGCACCCACUGAUAUUCAUGACUUAAUCAUGUCAAUAUGGCUAACAGGAAUGUAAUUUCCACAGAUAUUCAUCAUUAUCAAUAUGGCUAACAGGAAUGUAAUUUCCACAGAUAUUCAUGACUUAAUCGUGUCAAUAUGGCUAACAGGAAUGUAAUUUCCACAGAUAUUCAUGCAAUUUACAAAACCUUAAAGGUCAACCUUAGGUAAGGAUGGUGUUCACUUUAUGCCAAAGGUAUAGCCACAUUAAAUAUCUGUUUCUGUUGCAAUGUUGUUGAAUGCGUUCUGUAACACGUGCAUAUGUUAUCAAUUACUGUUUGUUUCACUGUGAAAUGUGUUAAUUCUGUUACUAUCCAAGAAUCUGUGAUUCUGUACAAAGGAUAUUUUUACACCAGAAUCACUAGACAGAGAUAUCUAUUGUAGCUAAGGAUAUGUUUGUUAACAAAAGUGUUCAAUGUAUUAAAGUUGCUUGAUCAGGGAUGGAAGACCUUUUAGAGAGUUCUAGGCACCAUAUGUGGCCCGAUUGUCUAAAGUGCCGCAAUUCGCUGCACAGAGUUGUGACCCUUGGACACGCCAGAACCCUAUAAUUGUUGGUUCGACUUUUUAGAGAGUUCUAGGCUCCAUAUGUGGCCCGAUUGUCUAAGGUGCCGCAAUUUGCUGCACAGAGUGGUGACCCUUGGACACGCCAGAACCCUAUAAUUGUGGGUUCGACUUUUUGGGUCCCGAAAUACACAUCAUGUUGGAAAGUGUUCAUAAUAUCUCCAAAUCAUCAUCAUCUUGGGGUCGCAGUGAUAAUGUUGCUAGGUUACCUUCAUCAGAGUGGUAAAUGUUCAAGAUCUGUAUCUCCCACAUUAAGCUGACAUCUUGAUAUGGAUGAAAAACAUUUCCAAGCGGCAAGAAAACCAACAUGCCCACACUUGCUCUUGGGGUCGUAACAAUUUGUAACCCAAUACAGCACUUAUAUUUUAUGACUUGAUAUAGUUUUGUUCUGUAGGUGAAUUGCAAUGCCGAAUCUGUUGUUUAUACAUUCAGAGAUGGAAGAUGAUAUAAUGGCACAAACACAUAGCCUGGAAGGAGCUGGUUUGUAAUGUGCUAUUUACUGUCUACAGGAAUAUACUGGAGAAUAUGGGUAACAUGGUUGUUGACUAGUCAGUAAUUACUCUCAUGUAGCUUGUUAUGUACUGUAUCAUAUCUCUUGUGAUAAAGGAAUUGCAAAUUGAGGUAUUGUAUAAUUGGACUUGUAUCAGGAUGUGAUAUUGUAUUGAACAACGAGAAGAGUUCUAUGGAUAUACAACUUCUUUAAUAUAAUAUGAUCGACGUUUCGGUGUAGCUGCUAACAAGCAAAAUGAUAGCAGCUACACCAAAACGUCGCUCAUAUUAUAUUAAAGAAGUUGUAUAAUCCAUAGAACUCUCCUAUGUGUUCAUCACACCAACUUCUAAAUGCCACUCAAAGAAGAUGAUAUUGUAUUGCUGUAUUGUAAAACCACUACUGGCAAAGUUGUCCAUUUAUUUUAUUUUAUGAAAGCAAAUCAAUAUAUACUUUUCUGUAAUAUACCAGAUGAACCAGU